rfam:Ectocarpus siliculosus strain Ec 32, whole genome shotgun sequence assembly, chromosome LG16
UGGCACGUGGCGCAGAGGUAGCGUGCGAGGCUCAUAACCUCGAGGACCCAGGAUCGAAACCUGGCGUGCCAU